ACACGUCACGGCGUGGCGCGACACGUCAGCUGCCCUCUGUUCUCCAUUGUGUGUGUGUGUGUGUCGUUGGAAUUCGGCCCCGCGCAGACGGAAGGGAACGUUCCUAUUACGCACGCAUGCAGAUUAUGACCAAGGAACGUGGUCACACGCAAGAGACGUAUGCUGACGCAGGACGCAGCGCAGGCACCACGAGGUUAACUUCCGGCUUGAUGCAAUGGGCAAUAAAACUACCAGAUUUUUCUGCACAUAAUAACAAUCGUUAAAAAAGCACCGAAAAGGCGUUGAUUAAUAUUAUCGGCAGUUUAAUUUCCAUUGGAAUACGUGAUGGAAAAGAUAAAAAUAAUCUCCCAUUCCAGUCACAAGAAACAUUGUUGCGAUUGUCGUAGGAGGGUAUCCUUUCAUUAACUUGUGAUAGUUUAAAAGUCAAUUUACUAUUUUUAUUUACAAAUUCAGAGAUAGUAUUUGAAGACGUGGGAGGAUCCGCCAGGAUAUAAUUACACGGAGCGGUUCAAAUGAUAUCACAAAUCGUGACUAACCGUCCAGCGCUUUAUAACGGAGUAAUAAAACCGGAUUUGUGUAUUUUUUGGUUUAAAUAUUUUGCAGAUUUAUUUCGCAUUUUUUAACUGUUAUACGGCCGACUUCAGCAUGUCGGUAAAAAUAGAUUUAUAUGUGGCAUGCCUUCGUACUAUGAAAAGUAUAUGACGUAACCCUUGCAGAAUAGAAUUUGUGGCCGACGUGUGAAAAGUUUUAUCAGUUCAAAGUGAUAUGUUGCCGUUCUGUUACCGUGUGAUUAUGAGUUCUCUUUUAACAUUGUACACAUAUAAUAAUAAUUACAGCACGGAAACAGGCCAUCUCGACCCUUCUAGUCCGUGCCGAACACAUAAUCUCCCCUGGUCCCAUCUGCCUGCACUCAGACCAUAACCUUCCAUUCCUUUCCCAUCCAUAUAACUAUCCAAUUUAUUUUUAAAUGAUAAAAACGAACCUGCCUCCACCACCUUCACUGGAAGCUCAUUCCACACAGCUACCACUCUCUGAGUAAAGAAGUUUCCCCUCAUGUUACCCCUAAACUUCUGUCCCUUAAUUCUCAAGUCAUAUCCCCUUGUUUCAAUCUUCCCUACUCUCAGUGGGAAAAGCUUAUUCACGUCAACUCUGUCUAUCCCUCUCAUCAUUUUAAAGACCUCUAUCAAUCCCCCCCUUAACCUUCUGCGCUCCAAAGAAUAAAGCUGGAUGUUUUGUUAAUCCUUAUGUUUUACAUCCUAAACAUAAUUGGUCCCCAGAACCCCUUGGGUUGGAGCAACUGAUGUUUGAUUGUUUUAUAAUGUAGAUGUUCUAUG